AUUGAACGCUGGCGGCAGGCCUAACACAUGCAAGUCGAACGGAGUGGCGGACGGGUGAGUAAUGUCUGGGAAACUGCCCUGUGGAGGGGGAUAACUACUGUAAACGGGCGCUAAUACCGCAUACUAUCAGAUGAGCCUAGGGCGGAUUAGCUAGUUGGUGGGGUAAAGGCCUACCAAGGCGACUAUCCGUAACUGGUCUGAGAGGAUGAUCAGUCACACUGGAACUGAGACACGGUCCAGACUCCGUCGGGAGGCAGCAGUGGUGAAUAUUGGACAAUGGGCGAAAGCCUGAUACAGCCAUGCCGCGUGUGUGAAGAAGGUCUUCGGGUUGUAAAGCACUUUAAGUUGGGAGGCGUUACCAACAGAAGAAGCACCGGCUAACUCCGUGCCAGCAGCCGCGGUAAUAC
rnacentral:rRNA from 1 species